UACAGAGGGGGCAAGCGUUGUUCGGAAUUACUGGGCGUAAAGGGCGCGUAGGCGGUCAGACCAAGUCGAAUGUUAAAUUCCAGGGCUUAACUUUGGACGGUCGUUCGAUACUGGUCGGCUAGAGUGUGGAAGAGGAUGCUGGAAUUCCCGGUGUAGCGGUGAAAUGCGUAGAUAUGCGGAGGAACACCGAUGGCGAAGGCAAUCCCCUGGACCUGUACUGACGCUCAUGCACGAAAGCGUGGGGAGCAAACAGG
rnacentral:rRNA from 1 species